AAGUCGUAACAAGGUUUCCGUAGGUGAACCUGCGGAAGGAUCAUUAAUCAGUGGAUCCGGCGGGGAAACCCCUCUCCCCCGAGAGGGGGUCGCCUCGCCGGGUAGACCUCCACCCGUGCUUACCUACUCUUGUUGCUUUGGCGGGCCGUGGCCUCCACUACGGGCUCUGCUCGUACGUGCCCGCCAGAGGACCAAACUCUGAAUAUUAGUGAUGUCUGAGAACUAUUUAAUAGUUAAAACUUUCAACAACGGAUCUCUUGGUUCUG
rnacentral:misc_RNA from 1 species